GAAUCCAACCGAACUCCGAAUGCCGGCGGCCCAGAGCGCGGCAGUCAGAGCAUGUGGGCUAAGCUGUGUGCUCGAGAGGGAAACAGCCCGGACCGCCCGCUAAGGUCCCCAAGUUCCAGCCGAGUGGCAAAGGAUGUGCGUCCGCCCAGACAACCAGGAUGUUGGCUUAGAAGCAGCCAUCCAUUCAAAGAGUGCGUAACAGCUCACUGGUCGAGUGGACAUGCGCCGACAAUACACGGGGCUAAGCUGGACACCGAAGCGGCGGGAUUUUGAUUUACAGAAUCGGUAGGGGAGCUUCCCAUGGGCGGAGAAGCCGGAGGGCGACCGACGGUGGAGCGCAUGGGAGUGAGAAUGCUGGCAUGAGUAGCGAGAGACGAGAGAGUAACUCGUCCGCCGUGAACCCGAGGUUUCCUGGGCAAGGCUAAUCCUCCCAGGGUCAGUCGGGGGCUAAGGCGAGGCCGGGAGGCGUAGCCGACGCGCAGCAGGCAGACAUUCCUGCACCGCGCACGCGGCGCUACGACCGACGGGGCGACGGAUGGGGGUGGCUCGGCGGGGUUCUGGACGUCCCCGUGAUGGAGCGCGGCCCGCGGACCAGGGAAAUCCGGUCCGCACACAGGGCGAGGCUCCGGACGAAGCGAUCAAGCGAAGCGAGUGAGCCCGAGGUCCCUAGAAAAACCCCUAGGCAGGCGCGUGCGCGCCCGUACCGCAAACCGACACAGGUGGGUGGGUAGAACAUACCGAGGCGAUCGGGUCAACCAUGGUCAAGGAACUCGGCACAAUGGCCCCGUAACUUCGGGAGAAGGGGUGCCCGCGCGUACGUGAACCGGCUCGCCCGGGGAGCGGAGGCGGGCCGCAGUGGAGAGGCCCAAGCGACUGUUUACCAAAAACACAGGACUCUGCAGAAGCCGCAAGGCGACGUAUAGGGUCUGACGCCUGCCCGGUGCCGGAAGGUCACGCGGAGGAGUUAGCCGUUAAGGCGAAGCCCCGAAGCCAAGCCCCGGUAAACGGCGGCCGUAACUAUAACGGUCCUAAGGUAGCGAAAUUCCUUGUCGGGUAAGUUCCGACCUGCACGAAAGGCGCAACGACUUGGGCGCUGUCUCGACCAUGGACCCGGUGAAAUUGCACUGGUCGUGAAGAUGCGACUUACCCGCGGAAGGACGGAAAGACCCCGUGAACCUUCACUGCAGCUUGGCAUUGGCCGCUGGUCCCGCGUGUAGAGGAUAGGCAGGAGGCUAAGAUCCGGAGGCGCCAGCCCCCGGGGAGCCGCCCUUGGAAUACUGCCCUCGCGCGACCGGCGUCCUAACCCGAGGCCGUCAACCGGCUCGGGGACCGUGCCAGGCGGGCAGUUUGACUGGGGCGGUCGCCUCCUAAAGGGUAACGGAGGCGCGCGAAGGUCCGCUCGGGACGGUCGGCAACCGUCCUUUUGAAUGCAAGAGUACAAGCGGGCUUGACUGCGAGGCCCACAAGCCGAGCAGGUGCGAAAGCAGGCUCUAGUGAUCCGGCGGCCCCGAGUGGGUGGGCCGUCGCUCAACGGAUAAAAGGUACUCCGGGGAUAACAGGCUGAUCUUGCCCAAGAGUCCACAUCGACGGCAAGGUUUGGCACCUCGAUGUCGGCUCAUCGCAUCCUGGGGCUGGAGCAGGUCCCAAGGGUACGGCUGUUCGCCGUUUAAAGCGGUACGCGAGCUGGGUUCAGAACGUCGUGAGACAGUUCGGUCCCUAUCCUCCGUGGGCGCAGGAGAAUCGAUGGAGGCUGCCCCCAGUACGAGAGGACCGGGGUGGACGCACCUCCGGUGAACCGGUUGUCGACCAACGGCACGGCCGGGUAGCCGCGUGCGGCGCGGAUAACCGCUGAAGGCAUCUAAGCGGGAAGCCGUUCCAGGGAUUAGUUCUCCUUCCGGUAAGGGCCCAGGUAGACUACCUGGUCGAUAGACGGCAGGUGCAAGGCUGGCGACAGCCUCAGCCGAGCCGCACUAAUCGCCCGAGCUCUUCCGGAA
rnacentral:rRNA from 1 species